rnacentral:misc_RNA from 1 species
ACACAGCAAUGACUGAAUGGAUGUGAGUAUUGCAGCGACAUCAUAGAUAGGGCUCCAUUGGUUCUGUAGGAUAUCCAAACAAAUACUUCCAUCGGCGUAAAUGUUUGGAUGGAACAUCCUGGAAACAAACCGGACAAUUGGUGGCUUAUUUGGAUAGUCCUCGGUAAACUGAAGUGUCAACUUAAACGUACCUCCAUCCCAAG